rnacentral:lncRNA from 1 species
GUGGAAUUCAACAGACCUCCUCUCUAGAGUGAAGGAGAGGACUUUCAGUUAGGAGAAAGGGACCUGUUCAACUUUAGAACCAGGGAGACAAAGGAAUAGAACCUAAUGGAACAGACAAGACUUGGGCAAAGUCUUGAGUCCAAAGGGAGUCAGCAAGGAUGGUGCAGGCUGCGAUGUGGGCAAUCAGUGCUAAAGCAGAAGCUGAGUGCUCUCUCUUCAUGUCUAUACUGCCCGCAGGGGUGGCAGGCUCUCAUGGUUGGCAAGGAAGUCAGAUGAAGGCAAGGAAACCCUGAGCUUAACUGCCACUGGAGCACUAAAGGUCCUCACUAUUUGAAGGAGAAUAUUUGGUUAAACAUUUUCCAUUUAUAUGCCUAUCUUGAUAGGCCUCGUUGCUGAUUGGUGGGGAUUGAUUUAUUUGGAAUAUAAACAAGUGUUGAUUUUUAUGAUUGCUGUAACGUCAAUCAUGCCACUUUUAGCUGCGAAUCAUGAAAGUAGAUGGCAAUGAAGAGAAAGGAUGUGGAUUUUCAGUUCUAUGUGAAAGAAAUUCUUCUCCAAAGUCACAUCAGAUCAAUGUCCAGUGGCCUUGACCUUAGAGCCUCAGGUCGGGGAAGGCCCGUGAGAUAAGACGUGGAUGUGAGGAGCCUGAACUUUUCAACACUGUCAGGUCUGUGAAAAGAAGAAAUGAAUAGCAAGUAGGUCCAGGAGCACUUUCUCCUCAUCUGGAGCCCAAGCCUUGAGCGACUGAGAGUAAAGGAAUGCUAAGGCCUGUCCUGCUGCCCCAGGACUAGAUGGGAAGCACAACAACAUAUACAAAUAAUCCUCCUGUGAACAGGGACACAAGUGAGAAUGACACCUUUAGAGAGCCCGAGGUGAAGUCUGUGUCCAUGUCUACCAGAAUUUGGCCUAUAAUCUUGACCUCAUCAUGAAGAGCUGCAACCAUCUGACCUAAUGUUACUCAGUAAUCUUCCUGUCAGAAUAAUACGUGAUGAGUAUUUUCAUUUUGUUAUCAUGGUUGUGAUCCUGAUUCCCUGAGGCUGGAUGACUACCUGGGUGGGAGCAUUACUCACUUAACAAAUACAUAUGGGAGUUUCCCGGUUGUCAGGCAUGAAGGAAGCACUGGGGCACCGGACAAACAUGGUGCCCACCUUCAAGGAGUUACAGUCCAGUGUGGACGCCCAUAUCUAAACAGGGCUGAGCUUAAUCCUAUCUACUCAGUGGAGCCCAUUCUGACGGCCACAGCCAACGGCGAUCUGACUCCCCCAAACAACUUGUGCUCCUCUCACUGGACAUUUACAAAGGACAGACGAAAGAAGAAAGAGAGAGAGGGAGAGAGAGAUUAUGUAAUGAGUUAUUCAUAAAGUCACAAUUUAUUUAUUUUUAAUUCUACAAUUUGUCCCCUCUACUGUUAUACUAAAAUGUCCCUUCUUUAAAAAAACCAUGGUCAUAGGCAUUAGCAGCGGGAUUUUUAAUGUGCUUAAAUAGCAACAUCAAAAGCUGGCAACCUCAUAGUUUGGCUGAAAAUUUCCUCUAAGUUUUUGCUGGCCUAUGGACCCAUGGGACUAGGAUGCGCAUUUCCUCUUCAAUUCUAAGCUGAAUAUGGUGGGUAGAGUUUAAAAUCUCUGACUUUUAUUUUGAUCUCAGAGGAAAGCAACAGGAGUCACCCAGCAACCCUGCCAGUCUCCCCACCUCUUAUUCGAAUCUGCGAGCUUCUGCUGUACUUGUCAACAACAGUGACAUAUUGAGAAGGAAUUUCAAAAGCAGAGCUUGCAUCCCAGGACACUGGAGCUCUGAGUGCCAACAGAAAAUUGUGCAUCCUUGCAGUGUAGAGAAAAAGCAGAUUUGCUUUGUUAAAUUCCUUGAAUCAUUUCAAAGGAAAUUUCCCCAGCCCAGAGAUACUGGAAAUGAGAUCUGCUCAGAACAGGCUGUAGAGACAAAUUGAACCCAGGGGCUGGCUAUAGAAACAUUACCCCAGAACCAGAAUAAAAGUUACUUACUUACAUUUUUACCUACUGAAAUGUGGGUCUUACCUUGGCAUCUGAAAUAAAUGACAUAAAACUCCAUUCGUCUCCUUCCCACUGUGUACCCACCUAUUUCGGCAGGAACUAUUAAAACUGUAGCAGGUCAGAGCAAAUUGUCGCUGGCAGCAGCUUCAAUAAAUCUGUGCCACUGAACUGCAGGAAGAAUUAAAAUGCAGAAAUUAGAAAUCAAAGGCACUGAGUUUAGUGUAAGUGCGACUUAUCUGAUUAAGCGUAGUUUCAUAAACCCCUAGAUCUCCAUCUCAUAAAGCCCUGGGGAAAACCUGAGGGGGUGGG